AAAUUGAAGAGUUUGAUCAUGGCUCAGAUUGAACGCUGGCGGCAGGCCUAACACAUGCAAGUCGAACGGUAACAGGAAGAAGCUUGCUUCUUUGCUGACGAGUGGCGGACGGGUGAGUAAUGUCUGGGAAACUGCCUGGUGGAGGGGGAUAACUACUGGAAACGGUAGCUAAUACCGCAUAACGUCGCAAGACCAAAGAGGGGGACCUUCG
rnacentral:rRNA from 1 species